rnacentral:rRNA from 1 species
GCCCUAGUAACGGCGAGUGAAGCGGCAACAGCUCAAAUUUGAAAUCUGGCCCUAGCGGUCCGAGUUGUAAUUUGUAGAGGAUGCUUUUGGUUAGGUGCCUUCUGAGUUCCCUGGAACGGGACGCCAGAGAGGGUGAGAGCCCCGUACGGUUGGACACCGAGCCUCUAUAUAGCUCCUUCGACGAGUCGAGUAGUUUGGGAAUGCUGCUCUAAAUGGGAGGUAAAUUUCUUCUAAAGCUAAAUACCGGCCAGAGACCGAUAGCGCACAAGUAGAGUGAUCGAAAGAUGAAAAGUACUUUGAAAAGAGGGUUAAAUAGCACGUGAAAUUGUUGAAAGGGAAGCGUUUGCGACCAGACUUUUUCCAGGCGGAUCAUCCGGUGUUCUCACCGGUGCACUUCGCCUGGUUUAGGCCAGCAUCGGUUCUCUUAGGGGGAUAAAGGCCUGGGGAACGUAGCUCCUUCGGGAGUGUUAUAGCCCCUAGCGUAAUACCCUUCGGGGGACCGAGGAACGCG